rnacentral:rRNA from 1 species
AUAAUACUCCAUAGUCCAUGGAAUCUGGAAUGAUCCAUGGAUGAAAGUUCCGGCGCUUAAGGAUCGGUCUGCGGCCUAUCAGGUUGUAGUGGGUGUAACGUACCUACUAGCCGAUGACGGGUAUGGGCCUUGAGAGAGGGAGCCCAGAGUUGGAUUCUGAGACACGAAUCCAGGCCCUACGGGGCGCAGCAGUCGCGAAAACUUCACAAUGGGGGCAACCCCGAUGAGGGAACUCCUAAUGCUAGCACAUUUGUGUUAGCUUUUCUUUAGCGUAGAUAACUAGAGGAAUAAGGGCUGGGAAAGACGGGUGCCAGCCGCCGCGGUAAUACCUGCAGCCCAAGUGGUGGUCGAGUUUAUUGAGUCUAAAACGUUCGUAGCCGGUUCGGUAAAUCUUUGGGUAAAUCGGAGGGCUUAACCUUCCGACUUCCGAGGAGACUGCCGAACUUGGGACCGGGAGAGGCUAGAGGUACUUCUGGGGUAGGGGUAAAUCCUGUAAUCCUAGAAGGACCACCGGUGGCGAAGGCGUCUAGCUAGAACGGAUCCGACGGUGAGGGACGAAGCCCUGGGUCGCAAACGGGAUUAGAUACCCCGGUAGUCCAGGGUGUAACGCUGCAGACUUGGUGU